CUGUCAUCUCCAUAGCAACUUGGGAAAACGUUUUCUCUCCGAGUGUAGAACUGGACAGAAGGAACUGUGAGUGCCUCUGGAUGACCAUCAGACAUCAGUGGGGUGCAAAGCGGUAGGAGAAGGAAUAACAAAACUCACUCUGUUGCCAAAAGCUGACUUCUGCCUGCCUAUCAAGGAGCCUUGGUCUCAUUUCCCUCUGCCAGCCAACACAGGGUUUAUUUGCUUUUUUGCUGCUCUGGAUGAUGUUCCACGGCCUGGCCUGCACACAGCCCAGGAAUGUCUGGCCUGGGGAACACUGAGUUCAUCCUGGUUAAGCAUAGAUGCCUUCCUCUGGACCUGUCAGUAGCGGCUCCCUCUGAAGUCACUGUAGGCAGUGGAGACUGG
rnacentral:lncRNA from 1 species